rnacentral:rRNA from 1 species
GACGAACGCUGGCGGCGUGCUUAACACAUGCAAGUCGAACGGACAGGCCCUGCUUUUGUGGCUUGCUCGAUUGGCGAACGGGUGAGUAACACGUGAGUAACCUGCCCUUGACUUUCGGAUAACUUCAGGAAACUCGGGCUAAUACCGGAUAGGAUCUCCUGCUGCAUGGUGGGGGUUGGAAAGUUUCGGCGGUUGGGGAUGGAUUCGCGGCUUAUCAGCUUGUUGGUGAGGUAGUGGCUUACCAAGGCUUUGAGGGGUAGCCGGCCUGAGAGGCUGACCGGGCACAUUGGGACUGAGAGACGGACCAGAAGCCUACGGGAGGCAGCAGGGGAGAGUAUGACAGAGUAGGCGGAAGCGAGUGGCGACAGCGCCGCGUGCGGGAUGACGGCCUUCGGGUUGUAAACAACUGUGGACGGUAAUGAAGCGUGAGUGACGGUAAUGGAUAAAGAAGCACCGGCUAACUACGUG